UUACGGGAGGCAGCAGUCGAGAAUUUUUCUCAAUGGGGGAAACCCUGAAGGAGCGACGCCGCGUGGGGGAUGAAUGGCUUCGGCCCGUAAACCCCUGUCAUUUGCGAUCAAACCUCACGGCCUAACACGUCGUGAGCUGAUAGUAGCGAAAGAGGAAGGGACGGCUAACUCUGUGCCAGCAGCCGCGGUAAUACAGAGGUCCCAAGCGUUGUUCGGAUUCACUGGGCGUAAAGGGUGCGUAGGCGGUCGGGUAAGUCUAACGUGAAAUCUCCGAGCCCAACUCGGAAACUGCGUCGGAUACUAUUCGGCUAGAGGAAUGGAGGGGAGACUGGAAUUCUCGGUGUAGCAGUGAAAUGCGUAGAUAUCGAGAGGAACACCAGUGGCGAAGGCGAGUCUCUGGACAUUUCCUGACGCUGAGGCACGAAAGCCAGGGGAGCAAACGGGAUUAGAUACCCCUGUAGUCC
rnacentral:rRNA from 1 species